GACGAACGCUGGCGGCGUGCUUAACACAUGCAAGUCGAACGGAAAGGCCCUGCUUUUGUGGGGUGCUCGAGUGGCGAACGGGUGAGUAACACGUGAGUAACCUGCCCUUGACUUUGGGAUAACUUCAGGAAACUGGGGCUAAUACCGGAUAGGAGCUCCUGCUGCAUGGUGGGGGUUGGAAAGUUUCGGCGGUUGGGGAUGGACUCGCGGCUUAUCAGCUUGUUGGUGGGGUAGUGGCUUACCAAGGCUUUGACGGGUAGCCGGCCUGAGAGGGUGACCGGCGGCAUUGGGACUGGGGUGCGGCCCAGAGUCCUACGGGAGGCAGCAGUGGGGAAUAUUGCACAAUGGGCGGAAGCCUGAUGCAGCAACGCCGCGUGCGGGAUGACGGCCUUCGGGUUGUAAACCGCUUUCGCCUGUGACGAAGCGUGAGUGACGGUAAUGGGUAAAGAAGCACCGGCUAACUACGUG
rnacentral:rRNA from 1 species